UUGUGUUUGAGGUAUAGAUUCAUUUGUCUUGACAACAGCAAGCCAAGGUGGAAGAACACUGAACAAAGCCAGUUGGUAUCAAUCUGAAUGUAUAGGAUUUCUGCAAGCUUGAAGACGAAGGAAAAAGCAGAUAAUUAGCAAAAGAUGGGAUAAUAGUCUUCGGCUUCAAGGAAGGACUUCAUAAAUGCUCCUUCAUUGCUUAUGUUACAAUAGUUAUUAUUUCUGUGCUUGUUGUUUCAGUGGUCGUACUAAAGGAAGCCACAAAGAUAGCAGAGAAGAAAAUCUAGCAAGAUAACAUAUUAAUUGUAAAUGAUUAUUUGUAAUUUUAAUUGUAAAGGCCAUGCUUUGUCUUUUUUUUCUUUCUUCUUCUUUUUAAGAACCCAUCGAAAAACCACUGCACAUUUCAUUUACAUGAAAUGGGUGCAAAGAUAGGGCUGUUGGGGAGCCUAGCACCACUAGAAGUAACAUAAUAGAGGAGGAAUAAUGGGAGAGGGGGAAUCAAACAGGAAGCAGGGAGAGAUGAAACUUCACCUUGAUCGGCUCUUAAUCUCCUAUCUUUCCUUUACCCAAAGAGCGUCCUAAACACCACCAUCUCCAUCUCCUUCCUCCUAACAGGAAUAUCGGAUAACCUUUAACCUUCAAACCCCUCAUCCGAUAUUUCUGCAUGUGCUGAGUUAUUCAUAUAUAUCUCCAAAAAAAUGUGAUCAGUCCCUGAAUCACUCCCAGUCCUUGAAUCACUCCCAGUAUGUUGUUCAGUUAACACAUCUACAACCUAUACGCUUCUCAAUGCAAAAGCAUCGAAAUUUUAUCUUCUAUAUUUCCCGAUAUAGUUGAAUAGUUUUGCAACUAAUACUAUAAUAAAAAUCUUAUUUUUCUUUUGGAUAUAUGGCCUUGGACCUAAACCUAUUCUAGUUAUUUUUUUUAUUUUUUAUUUUUUUGGGUGAAAACGGCAAUUUCAUAUAACUCUAACGUGAGUGAGAAUUUUAGAGGGAGAAGUUUAUCUGAUACCGGAUUUUGCACAAGGUGAUAAAUGUCUAGAGUGACUUUUAACCAAGCCAAAAUCGGUGGUUAGAUGUCUCCAAAAAAAUUGCCACCAAUAAUAAGGGUUAAUAAAGCCGGAAAAUGACUGAAAUACCAACCCUUCAUUUGCUAAAUAUAAGAAAAAUAUCUAAAAUGACCUCUGAUGCAUAUUAUGUUGAAAUAGAAGUAUUAAGUUAUAAAGACCUGUACCAGUUUGUUUAGUUACACAUCAGUUAUGUGUUAGAAAAAUCUUAGAUACUUAUACAAGAUCAAAAAAUUCAAAUAAUAUUUUCUUGCCAGUAUAUAUUUAGUCCAAUAUCAGUUAUAUGCCGAGAAGAUUUUGGAUACUUAUAUAGAGUCAAGAAUCUUAAUAACACCAUUCAACUAACCUUUUUAGGUGAGGUUGCAUCUCCUUACAUAAGAACAUCUAAUUUUGGGAGUCAGUACAAAUUCUUAAGGCAUUAAUGCAUCACCUUAUAUGCCAAAAGUCUAUUCCAAUCAUGACAUGAUUUUUAUGAAGUAUUUAAAUUAUUAAAAGAAACUCUAUCCAAUCUAACUAUUCAUACAAGUAGGUGGGUGAUUAGUUGGGAUAAAAUAUGAUAUUUAUGCUUAUCGUGACAUUAAAAAUGAAAAAUAAAAAAAUCUAUUACUACUUGGCAAAAAAUUAAUACUAUUAUCUUAUAUAUCAAGAGUAUAUCUCCAUCGUAAUUAUAAUUUUAUGAAGCAUCCAAAUUAUUAGAAGAAGCCCAGUGCAAUCCUUCUACUCACACACAGAGUAGCUGGGUGAUUAGUUGCGAUAAGAUAUUCUGUAUGUGCUUAUGAUGAUAUUUAAAAUGAAAAAAACAGCUAAUAAAAGAAAAUUAAUGCCAUUACCUUAUAUACCAUGAGUUUAUUCCGACCGUAAUUAUGAUUUAUGAGGCAUUCAAAUUACUAGAACAAGCUUAGUCCAACCCACUUGUUCCCAGGAGCAGAUGGGUCACUUGCUGGGACAAGAUACUAUGCAUGUAUGCUUAUGGUGAUAUUAAAAAUGAAAGAAAAAACAUUAUGACUACUAAAAAGAAAAAAAGAAAAGAUACGCGAAAAGCUCAGUAGAGGUACGGCAUGGAAAGAGUAAAGUUGGCUAUGCCGUACCGGCUCCUGCAUCCGCGCCUGUUCCUCUAGCCUCCCGUUCUUUCUAAGAGACCCCUUAUCCAGCCUGCAGCAGAAGAAUAUAUGCACGCCAUAAACUAACAAGAAGUCGAAAGCACCCAUGAAAGCCUUUGUACAUACUGGUCAAUGGUCAUGGAACCCUCUCACAUCUGCCUAACUCCGCUGAGAGAGCUGGAAGACGCCAUAUCAAAGGAUGAAGGACAUGAGAAGCGUGAUGCCAAAGAAUAAGUUUCUGAGAACGCAAGGGCCAUAUCAUCUGCGAGACUGCCGUCCCCGUUGAGAUAUUGGAUCACCUGCCUCAUGGUAGGCCUGACCUCUGGAAUGGACUGAGAACAAACCAGUCCUAGCUUAAGUACCAGCUCAACUUCCUCCCUCGCAUAGGACUCCCCGAGCUUGGGAUCCACAACCUCCAAUAGCUGGCCUCUUAUUUUGGACUCCCUCACCCAGUCCAUCAGAAGUAGCUGUUCCGUUUGAGCAGUAGGCUCGAUUGGCCUCCGACCGCACGCCACCUCUAAAAGCAAUAUACCAUAAGCAAAGACAUCCGAACUGGCCAUGGGUUUGCCUGUGCGCGACAGUUCUGGUGCAAUGUAUCCUAAGGUUCCAACGACAAGCGUCGUGUGAGAAUUCUUGCCACGCUCGUACAAUCUAGCAAGACCGAAGUCGCCCAACCUUCCAUUCAUUUCAGCAUCCAAUAGAACAUUGCUAGACUUGAUGUCUCUGUGGACAACCACUUGCUCCCAUUCCUCGUGUAGGUAGACGAGUCCCAAAGCAAUUCCCUUGAGGAUCUUAAACCGUUGAUCCCAACUCAACAGCCCACACUUCUCACUUUCGAAGAGGAAGGUGUCAAGGCUGCCAUUGGGCAUGAACUCAUAUACCAGAAGGAGGUCUUCGUUUCGCUUGCACCAUCCUUGGAGCUGCACCAAGUUCCUGUGCCUCAUGCGGCCCAAGUACGCCACCUCUGCUAUGAAUUCUCUCACUCCUUGCCUGGAAUUACCAGAGAUCUUCUUGACUGCAACUUCUUCUCCAGUGCGUGGUAGGGUUCCCUUGUACACAAGGCCGAAGCCACCCGAUCCGAGGAGCUCUGUCUCUUUGAAUCCUUUGGUUGCCUUGUAAAGGUCCUUAUAUGGGAACCUACGAGGAUAAUCUAAUUCCCAGUCCUCAAGAGUCUCUGCAAGCUUUGCCCUCUGCCAUAAGUGCCAGGAAACAGAGAAUGCAACCGCCACCAAGAGAAGGGUAGCAAGAGAAGAUAUGACCCCAAUUUUGAUUCCAGAGGCUUUGGAAAUAGACGAAAAUUUCGCUGGUUGUGGAGGAAGGGGUAGGCGAGAUAGAUCAAGGGAGCGCGCCACUCCGUUGGUCCGAAAGCUCCAUCCCAAGAUGUAAUGAGAACUUGAGAGCUUCCCCGUCGAUGAAGAGAAACCAACAUACACGUAUUCCUUAAGAAUUGAAGACAGAUCGAUGGCGUAUGAUAUGAGAGGUCGGCUUGGUUUGCCUACAGAGACGGGAGAAAUGGCCACAUUCAGAAUUUUUGCAACACCAUCGUAGUCUAUCCAGGCCUGAAUUGGCUGCCCACUCUCCAGUUCAAAAUCUACCAUCUUGGAAUUACUGGUGCAGUAGGAGGCAGUUUUCGAAACAUUGGAAACAAGGCUGUUUAUGUCGACACCAACGUGGUUGCCAUCGAUGUCCUUCAACAGAUUAGAUGCCUGAACGGUAUCAAACUCCACCGCAAAGACAUGGUUGGAAGAAUUGCCAUUGUUCCUGCUAUUGAGGAGGCCAAGGUACUGGCAACAACUGCCUUCGAGAGCCUUUGUAGGGGCCACGGCGAAGGCCAAGCCAUGGCCGCCUCCGUUCCCAACAGCGAUGAUGUCGAAGACGAAAGUGGUGCUGAAGGAGAUUGUAGUCGGUGUCAUGGAGCGAGUGUUGAGCAGCAUUUGAAUUGGUGAGGAGAAGAAGGCAUGGCCCGUCACUUCUUUGGUGUCAUUGGUGAGCUGAAGCACGCCAUCGGAUGUGAUGCGAGCAGAGCCAUCUAAGCUCAGAUUGGUGGCUGAUUUGAAACCAUUGCAGGUAAAAUCGAUACUAACAGAGAGGGAAGAGCAGGCUAAGAGAAGAACGAGGAGCGGAAGCACGAUGGAUGCUGCCAUGAUGGCUUGAGAAAAAAACCGGGAGAAGAUAAUGGAAAUAGAGGGGCCUUUGCGAUGGACGACCUUGUCUGGAAGUCUUUUCGAUUGAGUGAGUGCUUUUUCGACUAGACAGCUCGUAUUGGCUUGGCCGUUCUUAUCCUUCAGCAAAGGCAACACUAAUCAGAAGGUGACAAGCGGAAAUGAAGUUUCCCACUAAGACGGCUAAGUGCGGGGUUCAGAUGGAAAUAAUUGCAGGCCAUCAAAUACAAGCCAAGACAACCUGCAAGACUUCCACUUGGAAGAUAAAAGGUCUUGGAAGGCAUCUUGGAGACUCCCUAACAAUAAGUAAUAAUUGCAAGGCAACCUCGGAGCCGUUUCACGAAAUGCCUCUUGUUUGGUUGGAGUUUUCAAAGAAGAAAGAUAGAAAAGUUGUAUUCCAAUGGGAAUAUGAUUCCCACAUUUCAUGGAAAAGUCUUUCCCAUGAGAAACAUGGAAAAGUUACUUUCCCAUGAGGUGGGAAUCACUCCUUUUUUAUUUUUUCCAAAAAAGAUCCUUCAACAUUAAAGAAGCAUUAAAGAGGCAUUAAAGAGGCAUUAAAGAACUAAUUUUUAUUAAGGGCAUAAUAGGAAUUAUACAUAACUUUCCUAGGAAAGUGGAUGGUCAACCAAACAUAAGCGCUUUGGAAAUUUGUCACUUUCCCAUAGUUAACCAAACAUGCCAAAAGUACUUUCCUAGGUAUCCUCUUCCUAAGAAUCUGAUUCCCAGGAAUCAUAUUCCUAGGAGGAAAAAUACUUCCCGCGAACCAAACGAGCCUUAUUUAUUCAAAAGGACUUCCAUAGCAAGCGUGUCCAUCGCAGAGAGAGCUAGCCAGCUUGCUGAACCCCACACUUGGCCAUCGAAGUUUUUAAUUCAUUAGAUGUCUUUUCCUAGGCUAACAACAAUCUUAUGUUAUCACUAGAUGCCUUUUUCCUUCAGUUCAAGUUUACAAGCGAAUGGAAACUGUGGAGCAUUUUAUGAGGGAUUUCAUGGUGGAAGCAUCGGCAUCCAGGUAUCUCUUCGCUCUUUCAUGUCGUGAAUUUUCACCCGUCUGCAUGUUUAUAUCUUGUGGAAAACCAAAAUCUACAGUUCUACAUGCAUGUGUCAACAAAUUCCAUCUAUUCAUUGUGUAAAUGAAACUCGACCUUCGUUGCAUGGUUCAUCAGAUGAGCACUUGACUUUGGCCUACACAGGAAUCAGGGGCUGCAGUGAUCUGUGCAGUACGUACAAGAGAGAGAGAGAGGAAGUUGAGCCACAAUCUCAUUAGUGGGAUUCAUGAUCCAAAUCUCCUACUGAUGCAAAUUAUGUGAUGGACUAUCCAAAUUUAGAAUCCAGAUAGUUAAUCAUGUGUUGGGAUAUUUGGGAAGCUUAUGCAUCACACGAACACAAAAUGAUAACUGAUGAUGAUGCCAUAACUGGUGAUGAUUUGGCCUGUUAAAACCAGAAAAGUCAUGGUCCUUACACGUUUUGAUAUUGAUGGUUGGGAUUCUUGAAGCGUAUAGCCACCCAUGCUUUUGUUGCCCUGGCUCUUUCACUAUUCCAUAUGAUAAUGCAAUUAAUUUGACUUUAUUCGUAGUUGCAGUUUCCAAAAUUUUCGUAUUUAGUGCAGUAUUAUGACACUUUGCUAGGUGAUCAAUGUCUAAUUCUUCCUGUAAUAGUAUCUGAUUACUGCAAAUAUAAUGAGAGGUUACCUACAUAAAUCUUUCUGUACUACUUUAGAGUUCAUAGUUGAAAGUGAUAAAGGUGAAGAUGCAAUGUUCUUUUUUAAAUUUAUUCCUCGCAGCUUAAUUCUAUAACUUCAUAAACAACUUUUAUGACCCAUUAUGUUUUUCAGCCGGUCUUACAGGGCCACCAGUUUCACCUAAAUUGGUUAAGGUUUUAUACUGCUCAGGAGUCAGGACACCCCGAAACAUCAAUUACUUCCUGAACUACUUACAGAUUAUCUUCUAUUAGUUUCUUUUCUUAUUGCCACUUAUGUUCAAUGAUUUUAAGUUGUUAAUUAUAAAUGAUAUUAUAUUUCAGUGAAUUCUUUAGUGAUGUUUGGAUGGUAUAUCCAAUGCAGUUUUACUGCAUUAUAGGUUUUGCCUUUUUUGCAAUUUUAAGUUGUUAAUAAUAAUAAUAAUAAUAAUAAUAAUAAUAUAUUAUGUUUGGUAUAUCAUUUUUAAAUUGAGAAACAAAAACUCUUUCCAUGAUUAUAUAAAUUAAUAAAUUAAUGAGUAGUAGCAUUAAUUACAGAAGUUCGUAGGCUAGAGAUAGAGAAGGAAGAGAUGAGGCAAUGCCAUCAGACAAAGAUACAGUCCUUAAGAGCUCAACUUGAUCAGAUUAUAUCUUUAUUACAGAUAUUUAUCCCACCUCAGAUGAAUAACUAUAUCUAUUUUUAUAUUUUAUAUAAUUAUCAUGUAUAUUUUUGUAUGGGCUUAAUGAUUUAUAAUACAUUAUGAUUUUUGUAUUUUCAACUUCUAAAGUUUCUAUCUUUUUCUUACAAGUUUGCGAUACUUCUAGCAAUCAUAGAGUUGAUGAUAAUGUUGCUAUGAACCACUGAUAACCCUUAGACUUUUUUUUUGGCAUUUUAUAUACGGUGUAUCUUCUUAUGUUUUUUGAGUUGUAAUAGGCACUGAAUUAUGUUUGACAAUGUAAAUAGUUGCAAUUUUUAUAUAUGAUACAAAUGUUAUACAUGACUUUAUUAUAUGAUACAAGCAUUUUUUGAGUUCUUUUAUUUGUUUGUUAUAUGUGACCACUGAAACAAGUGUGUUUUGUAUAGGUUUUGCUUCUUUUUUCCUUUUUGUUUAAAAAAAAUUAUGCAAGUUGGUGACAUUUUAAAGCAUCCUGAUAUUCUAAAUUAGAUGAUGUUUUAAAGCAUCAUCAAAAGAUCCUGUAAUGACGCUAAUCAUCAUCAUUAAUUAGCGAUAAUGGGAAGCGUUGUUAAUUAGCGAUGCUAAAUAGCAGCGUCGGAAGCAAUUCUCAUGCCCCCCCACCCCACGCCGUGUUUAACUUCCCAAUGCUUAAAAACGUCGUUAGCCUAAAAUUAAAAUGGGCACGACCAAGAACUCAAGAAGCGUCGUUCCUUUUCUUUUCUACGCUUGCAAAGAUGAUGUUUCUUCGACACUUGCUGUAGCGUAGCGUCGGGGCAUAAUCUUGCGACGCUAUAUAGGUGACUUAAAAGCACCAAAAUGUCUUCUUUUUUUUUUGUAGUAUUUACACCAUCACCCACCUCUUUCUCUAUUUUAUUAGAGAUAGAAGCCGUCGCCCCCUUUAGAUGGCUGAGAUUUGGAAGCGCAUCCAUGGGAUGUGGAUGACAUGCAGUCCCGUUCAAUUGAAUGGAGUGGCGGAAAGAAACCAUCCAUGGGGUGGUGGGCCCAUGUUAGUGCAAGAUUAUCCCUUCUUUGCCGAUUGUUGGUCCGCAAAGCAUCCAAAUAGCCACCAAGAUGGUAGCUUGGUGCUAAAAGGGCUUGGACUCCACUUGAGUUAUCCGGAUUCGAAACGCACGGACGUCGAUUAAAUCAGGAGACCACAUGCCCCACGCCCGAAUGGCUCCGUGUGGAUAUGCUUUCCUUCCAUCAGUGCUGAGGUGGCGCUGGGGUGACGUACCACACGUAGAUGGCCCAGUGGGGUUUUUCAUGGGUUGGGGAGAGCACGCGGAAACUUGCGACCCGCAUCGAAUAUUUUCUAAUAGAAGGGGGCCCAAUGGGGGCUGCUACGCGGAUGGGGUUCUGCCCCUCCGCCUCCCCUCCUUUCUUUUACCAAAAAAGCAUCCAAAUACAUCCACACACACACACACACACACACACACACAUAUAUAUAUAUAUAUAGACACACACACACUAUAUUACAAAAUAAGAGAGUUGGACCAAUUUUAUUNNNNNNNNNNNNNNNNNNNNACACACACACACACACACACACACACACACACACACACAUAUAUAUAUAUAUAUAUAUAUAUAUAGACACACACCAAUUUGCACAUGAGAGAGAAUAUUUUCCAUCAAAAGCAGUGAUAUCAUGCCUUGAUCUUUAUUAGAUAUGUUAAAUAGACAAAAAGUAUCAUGGCCAAAUGUAUGACCAUAAUGGUGAUAUUUCAAACACUGAUGAUGAUAUAUAACAAGUUUAACAUUGUGUUCGCUCGAACUUGCACCUUCCAUAUGCUGCAACAAGCAUAUAAGAUAUUUUUUAGCGCAUCCUUCUAAAAAAUUAAAAGCAUCAAUAACUAGAAUAUAUGAUUUUUCCAAAGAAGAGGAUGUGGACUUUGCAUGUAAAUCAAUACAUAAAAAGAUAGCUUGUAACUUCCAAGGAUCUGAUUGAGAUAACAUUGCAUCACCAUCAAAUUUACAAUAGGAUUAUUGAGCCCCAUUAGCAUUGUAGUAGAGGUUAUACAAUACGGAAGCAUGAUUUUUGGAAGUGUUUGGAUCAAAACAAGCACCACCUGGUUGUAUAGAGCUACAAUCGACCAUUGUACAUAGGAAAGCUACAUCUUUUUCUAAAUACAACUCUGAAGCCUGAGGAUUUGCAAUGCACCAUGUCCUUGCCCGAUAAUUAAUAGCUAGACAACUGAUAAUUUAUGAUAAUAUUCUCAAUAGCUGGAAUUUGUCAAACUUCUCUACAUUCUAAAGCUUUCUCUGAUCCACAUCUCUAAUAGUAUUUAUACUAUCUCUUUGUUUGAUUGGGGUUAGAGGAAGUUUUCUAUCUGGAAUUGAAAUGUAGGACAUAACUGACUGAUUCUCCUUUGAAUAUCUCUAACUGUCUUCUUUAAAUCUCAAAAUACCUACACCAACCAUGCAAGAAAAUCAUGAAGUCUAGGAGGGAAGAUAAAAAGGCAUUGCUUUAUUCUUGUUGGGCCUUUGGUUGCUUCUCCUUGUUGGGAUUGUCAUUUUGGAAAUCUCUUGAAUGAUUAGAACUUCUCCAUAGCCAAUGACUCUUAAGAGGCAUUUGGUAUAGUGUGAUAACCCUAAUACUAAGAGUUAUGUGAGGAGGAGGCAACAAGAACAUCGUGUUUGGUUGCACCAUAGUGAUUCUAUGCGAGAGUGAUCUUAAAUCACCCCCACUCUUCAAAUAACCAUCCAACCCAGUGAUGAAAACCCUAUCCUUGAGGAUGGAUAUCCAAGAUCAUUCCAAGGCAGUGAUCAUAGGCUGCAAUUUAGGACAAAAAUAUCCCUCACUCCAAUAAAAAAUUUAAUAAUUAUAUCAAUAAAAAAUUUAAUAUCAAUAAUUCAUAAUUGAUAUAUUAUAUCAAUAAUUUAUAUUGCAUUAUAUUGAUAUUACGUAUAUAGUAUUUAUGAUAUAUUAUAUUAUAGUAUAUUAUUAAUCAUAUUACUCUCAUAUUAUUAUUCAACUAUUUUUUAUAAUUAAACAAAAAUAUAGUAUUAUAUUUUAUAUUUAUGUUAUAAAAUUAUUUAAUAUUACUUCUAUUUACCUUAUUUUUUUAAUCAAAUAAAUAUUAAUAUUAAACUAAUAAUAUAUUAUAUGUAUAAAUAAAAUUAUUAAUUUUAUAAUAACAAUUAAUAUAUUUUAUAAUAUUAAUAAUUUAUAUGAUUAAUAAAUAUAUUAUUAUGGAAUUAUUAUUAGUUAAUAUAUUAAUGAAUAUAUCAAUAAUUUAUUAUAAUAUAUUUUUAUAUGAUUAAAAAAUAUAUUUUUGUGGAAUAUAUCAGGGAUAGUUUUGGUACUAUAUGUUCAGUGAUUUUGGAUUUUCAUAGAAUACCAAACAGUUACUUGUGGAUAUUCAGCGGCCUUAUUCUUUAGAAAACAGUAUAUCAAACAUGGUGAUCUUAGAUUAUUGGGGGAUCAGUAUUACNNNNNNNNNNNNNNNNNNNNACCAAUGAUCGAUCUAAGUUCACCUUAGUGAUCCCAUUUGGAUCACUAAUUGCCAGCUUAACAUCUAACAAGCUACUGCACGAACACCAAAUUUACAUGUAGGGAUAAGAGAUGGAUGGUACUGUUGCAAAGUUGGAAGGAACUAGAGCUGAGUAUCAAGGGCAGCAAACUAUAUAUUAUGCAUACACUAUACAAUGGCGAGGUGAGAAAGGGUGACAAGGAAGAGCUGCGCACAGGCAUGCGCAUAAAUUGCAAGAUCUUUUCCUUGUUUUCUUAGGUCAAAGAGAUAAAAGAGUCGGCCUUCAGUCUGUAGAGGACAUCCAACCAAUCUAACUGGACGUGGUAAUAUUGGUUUGGAGAGCUGUUAUAAUUCCAAUCAAAUCCUACGGCUGCAAAGGCUUGUUGAGAGUAGUUGAUUGGUUGAUGUCUAAAGAUUAGGAUAGAAUAGAUAUCUGAUGUUUUAAGGUAUUAUUUGAAGGCUUCGAUUGUCUCUCGAAAGAAAUUAUUAGAACUCCUGUAUAUAGUAUUUAAGACCUACGAUUUUUGACAACAUAUUUAAGGAAAAGUUUGGUCAGGCUAGUGAAAUCGAUCCUAGCCCGAUGCAACAUGACAAGCGUUACUAGGCCUGAUCACAACGAGGUUGGGCUGAGCAAGCAUUUUUGUAUUGUCGAAUUAUUACCAAAAUCUUGCUCCUUAAACUAGAAUUUCUUCUUUGGCAUUUAAAUAGAAGAAAAUUAUUAUUUUAGGUGAAAGGAUCCAGCGAUUUUGGAUGGAUCCUCUAUGCGAAUGUAGAAGAGUACUGUUCGAUCAAUACCGGCACCAUCUACUUUGCAACUGCACCAGUAAUCUGAUAUUCUGAUUUAUCUACUUUGCACCAUCGCCAGUCUCUUUCUCUAAUUUAUCAGAGAUAGAAGCCAUCAACCCUUCAGACGGUCGAGUUUCGGAAGUUCGUCCACACGAUGUGGAUGACACACGGGCCAUGCAUUGCCAUUCAAUCGAACGGAGUGGGUGACAAGAAACCAUAUGAUAUAUGAUGCUAAUAUGAUGUAUGUGGUGUGGUGUGCCCAAGUUAGAACAAGACGAUCCCAUUUAGCUUCAGUUAUGUGUCAGUUCUGGGCCUCCCUGAAGGACCCUUCUUUGUCUGAUGUUGGUCCGCAUAGCAUCCAAACACAUGUACAUAUGCCAAUUUGCACAUAAGAGAGAAUAUUUUCCAUCGAAAGAUGCUCCGACUUUUAUUAGAUAAGUUGAAUGGACAAGGAGUAUCAUGACCAAAAUAUGACCAUGAUGGUAAGCUUUAUUUCAUCAGAUAACACAAGCGGGGAGCCUUAUGCAUUUCCAAGACUGAUGAUGAUUUAUUCCAAGUUUAACAUCGCGUUUACUCGAACUUGCACGUUCCAUAUGCUGCAACAAAUAUAUAUGAUAUCUUUUAGUACAUCCUUCUCAAAAAUUGAAAGCAUCAAUAACCGGAAGAUAAGAUUUUCCCAAAGAAGAGGAUGUGGACUUUGCAUGUAAAUCAAUACAUGAAGAGAUUAGCUUAACUUACAAGGAUCUGAUAGAGAUAGCAUGGCAUCACCACCAAAUUUGCAAUAGGAUUCUUGAGCCCCAUGAGCCUUGUAGUAAAGGUUGAACAACACGGAAGCAUGAUUCUGGAAAGUGUUUGGAUUAAAACAAGCACCGCCGGGUCUUAUAGAGCUACAGUCGACAUUUGUGCAUAGGAAAGCUAUAUCCCUCUGUAAAUUGGUCUUUAGAGACAGAGGAUUUGCAAUGCACCAUGUCCUUGGCUGUAACAGUAAAUGCUAGCAUCUUAAGGAAAAAAAAACAAAAAAUGCAACCAAUAUAAAGAUGUUAGUUUUAUCACAACUACAUUAGUAUACAUCCUUUGUUAAAUAGUUCUACGCUUAGUUUCUUUUAGGCAUUUUCCAUUAAAGAAAAGAAGAAAAUGAAUUCUUUUGUAUGGAAUAAUUAGGAGAUUAUUGGGUGGAUUCAAAUAUACCAUAGUUUGUCAAUAAUAUGAACAAAAAAAACUUUUUAUUUUGUUUGUAUUAAAACAUUAUGAAUAAUUGUUAUUAAGUCAUCUGCAGAAAGUGGAUAAGUNNNNNNNNNNNNNNNNNNNNACACUCUCUCUCUUCUUUCUUUCUUUCUCUCUCUCUCUCUCUCUCUCUCUCUCUCUCUCUCUCUCUCUCUCUCCCCUCUCAGAGUCCCAACUCCAAACCAUGGAUGAGUACCACCAUACCGGGGGCUCUCCCUUUUUAUAUUAUAUCUGGGCUUCCUUUUGCCUCUCGAAGAUAUUCUUCUCCUUCUUUACAAGUUAUAACAAUAAUAAUAGUUUUGGACGAGAGUGGGGGAGGAGGGGAAGUUACAACGAGGGUGGAGAAGUGGGUGAAAGUAAAUGCGGUGGCUCACAAGUCUCUCCUCCCUCCGUAUUUUGCGCCCACCCAGCGGUGGCCAUCCGUUGCAAGCUGAAUGGUACCCAACGCGGCGCUCCCGAUCCGCCCUCGCUGUACCGCCCCCAACAGCAUCCCCCUCCGGCCAUGACGUGGCCCCCUUCCAUUGGCCGUCAGACCCGGGCCGAACCCUCGAGAUGCUAGGCCCCCCUACCCCCACACACAAAAAAAAAAUCUCCCGCAGAGGAAAAAUUACACGGAUGACCUGUCACUCCCUAGUAGUUCCACGUCAUCUCUGUAUUUUUCUCUGUGUGGGGUGUUCCAGGAGGAUUUCACGGAACCCGAAUCCCACCGCAAAAACAAACCGACUGAAUGACCACCCUUGCAAGCGGCGCUGCACGCUGUUCGAGGCGGCACACCGGAAUCGGAGUGCUUUUUAUUUUUUUCGUGUGUAUUUUGGCUCGCUCGUUUGUUGGUGUGGGACCCAAUUCGGAGACACGUGGUUUCGUCCCGGGGUGCACCUGAUUAAAGUUUUCUUUUUUUUUCUUUUUAACUUUUUAUUUUUUUGUGCUUUAAUUUUGUUUUUAUGUUGGGUCUUAAGGUAGCGUACCGAGUGGGAUGGCUUCACACGUUUUGUCUCGAUUCGUCCUUUAAACGGCGGGUCCACAUAUCUGGUGCUACGUGUCCACCCACCGAAUGACGUCAUCAGGCCUUGCAUCAGCUCCCAGUCUCUUACUGUUCAUAUUAGCUGUGCUAUUCCGCUUCGUGCCAUGUGUUCCGCCGGAUGUUUAUCUAACGGACCCUCUGGCUUCGCCUUUCCCUCUUUUCGGAUCCGGAUCCUACCCGGUUAGACCCAACUUGCCGAACCCACCGCAGUUAGCUUAAACAGGCUCAGGGAUAAGGUACAUAUCUAUGUAUAUAUGUAUGUAUGUAUGUGUGUGUGUAUAUAUGUGUGUAUGUAUGUAUGUAUGUAUGUAUAUGUGUGUAUAUGUAUGUAUAUAUGUGUGUGUGUGUCUAUAUAUAUAUAUAGGUCGGGGGUAAUUCAACUGUAUAAGCAAGGCUCGGGAUAUGGGGAUAUGGAUUUCACCUUAUGGGGAAUAGGCUGAAAGAGCAACAGGCAACCAAGACUUAUGNNNNNNNNNNNNNNNNNNNNNNNNNNNNNNNNNNNNNNNNNNNNNNNNNNNNNNNNNNNNNNNNNNNNNNNNNNNNNNNNNNNNNNNNNNNNNNNNNNNNNNNNNNNNNNNNNNNNNNNNNNNNNNNNNNNNNNNNNNNNNNNNNNNNNNNNNNNNNNNNNNNNNNNNNNNNNNNNNNNNNNNNNNNNNNNNNNNNNNNNNNNNNNNNNNNNNNNNNNNNNNNNNNNNNNNNNNNNNNNNNNNNNNNNNNNNNNNNNNNNNNNNNNNNNNNNNNNNNNNNNNNNNNNNNNNNNNNNNNNNNNNNNNNNNNNNNNNNNNNNNNNNNNNNNCAAGAAGGCAUGGCCCGUCACUUUGCUAGUGUCAUUGGUGAGCUGAAGCACGCCAUCGGAUGUGAUGCGAGCAUAGCCAUCUAAGCUCAGACUGGUGGCUGGUUUGAAACCAUUGUAGGUAAAAUCGAUACCAACAGAGAGGGAAGAGCACGCUAAGAGAAGAACGAGGAACGGAAGCACGAUGGAUGCUGCCAUGAUGACUUGAGAAAAAAACCGGGAGAAGAUAAUGGAAAUAGAGGGGCCUUUGCGAUGGAUGAGCUUGUCUGGAAGUCUUUUCGAAUGACUUUUCCGACUAGACUGCUUGUCUUGGCUUGGCCGAUCUAACCCUUCAGCAAAGGCAUCGUCAGAAGAUGACAAGUGGAAAUGAAAUCGCCCACAAAGACCGCUAGGCGUGAGGUUCAGAAGGAAAUAAUUGCAGGGCAUCAAAUACCAGCCAAGACGACUCGGAAGACUUCCACUUGGAAAAUAAAAAGUCUUGGAAGCUUCCUGACAAUAAAUAAUAAUUGCUAGACAUCCUAACAGGGGUGGUGCUUGCUGCACCCCACACUUAGCCAUCGAAGUUUUUAAUUCAUUAGAUGUCUUUUCCAAGGCUAACAACAAUCUUAGGUUACCAUUAGAUGCCUUCUUCCUUCGGUUCAGGUUUACGAGGGAAUGAAAACCGCGGAGCAUUGUAUGAGAGAUUUCAGGGUGGAAACAUCAGCAUCCAGGUAUCUGUUCGCUCUUUCAUGUUGUGAUUCUUUCACCCGUCUGCAUGUUUUUAUCUCGUGGAAAACCAAAAUCUACAGUUCUACAUGCGUAGGUCAACAAAUGCCAUCUAUUCACUGUCUGAAUGAAACUUGACCUUCGUUGCGUGGUUCAUCAGAUGAGCACUUGACUUGGGCCGACACAGGAAUCGGGGCUGCAGUGAUCCGUGCACUAUGUACGAGAGAGAGAGAGAGAGAGAGAGAGAGANNNNNNNNNNNNNNNNNNNNAGAGAGAGAGAGAGAGAGAGAGAGAGGAAGUUGAGCCACAAUCUCAUUUGUGGGAUUCAUGAUCCAAAUCCUGCUGACGCAAAUUAUGUGAUGGACUAUCCAAAUUUAGAAUCCAGAUAUUUGGGAAGCUUAUGCAUCACACGAACACAAAAUGACAACUGACGAUGAUGCCAUAUUAAAACCAGAAAAGUUUUGGUCCUUACACGUUUUGAUAUUGAUGGUUGGGAUUCUUGAAGCGUAUAGCCACCCAUGCUUUUGUGACCCUGGCUCUUCCACUAUUCCAUAUGAUAUUUCAAUUAAUUUGACUUUAUUCGUAGUUGAAGUUUCCAAAAUUUUCGAAUUUAGUUCAUGUGUUUUGAGAUCUUUUGUUCAUGAUCAAGGGUUUUUUAUUUAUGCCAGCUAUUCGCCUUUUGGCAUGUUAUUAGCACUUUAAAUACCAGUUUCACCUGAAUUGGUUAGGUUUUAUGCUGUUCAGAACACCCAGAAACAUCAAUUACUUCCUGAACUACUUACAGAUUAUCUUCUAUUAGUUUCUUUUCUUAUUGCCCCUUAUGUUCAAUGAUUUAAGUUGUUAAUUAUAAAUGAUAUUAUAUUUCAGUGAAUUCUUGAGGGAUGUUUGGAUGAAUAAUAGGUUUUGCCUCUUUUGCAAUUUAAGUUGUUAAUAAUAUAUAUAGGGUUUUUUGCAUGAAUAGCCUUCUUAAAAAAAACUUGCAUGAAUACCCUCUUAAAAUUUAUAUUUAUUUAUGUACCCUUAUAAAAUACUAUUUUUUUCAUAAAUGCCCCUAAUAUAAUAGUUCUUCUAACACCAUUAAUAAAAACCAUAUUUAUUUUAAUUAAAAAUAAAAUAAAAUUUGAAAUUAUUUUUUUGUCUUCCAUCGCGAUCGCCUUAUAAAUUAUUUUUUUUUUACAUAUCUACCCAUUAAGGAUAUUUUAGUUAUUUUAAUUUAAAACCGCUAAUUUUUAACGGUGUUAGAUGGCGUAGUACAUAUGCAAAAAUAAAAUAAAAAAGAGUAGAAUAGCAAAAUAAAUGUUGUAAGAGGAUAUAUAUGUAAAUAUCAAUUUUGAGAGUGUAUUCAUACAAAAUUCGAUAUUUAGAAGGAUAUUCAUGCAAAAAAAAAACCAUAUAUAUAUAUAUAUAAUGUUUUGUAUAUCAUUUUUAAAUUGAGAGACAAAAACCAUCUCCACUAUUAUAUAAAUUAAUAAAUUAAUGAAUAAAGACUUCAAGAGAUUGGGAAAUAAGGAGAUAAAACAUGAAGAAUAGACGAAGAGCGUUGAUGUUUUUAUUUGUUUUUUUAAAUUUGAAAGAAUCUAGCGGCUUGAAGACGUGGAUAAGGGAUGGUAGAGAUUUUCUUGAAAAUAAAAACAUCUAGUUUGGGAUGCCUUAGGGAAACCUCACAACUAAGAGAUAAAGGUGUAAAAUAAAUAGAGAUGCACAUAGAUCAUAUAUCUAACUUCUUGAUCGCAUUAUUUUCACAUAUAUUUAUGAAGAGAAUAACUAGGAACAUUCUGGUAUUUGACAGAUAAUCUGAUAUGAAAUUACCUCUUUCAUUAAUAAUAUGGUAUAGAUACAUAAAACAGUAACAUAUAAUUGCAAUUACAACCUAUAACUAGAAUUGCAAUCUCUGUUAGAGGCAAGUAAAAUUGCAGCAAACCAAACAGCCACUUAUCUUAUUACCAAUUCAUUUCCAGGCCUAAUCUGAUAUUGAAAUAGCUCAAGGAAUGCAAUUAGCAUGCCAUGAAUUACAUUUAGAAGCUAUGUGACAUGUCUAGUAAAACACGCAUCAUAUCCUGCAUAUUUAAAUAACUCGAAAUUAGUAGUUGUUGUUUUAGUACUUAAAAUAUUUCAUAGUGAUUCAGAAGGAUUCUCAGACUCGAUGUGACCACUUUGACCACUACAAGCAAGGCUGGACAGAAUGCAGGAGCGAGAUCUGCUACAUCGGAAAGUCUAGUCGCAGUCAAACUUUCGGAUACGAUGUCCGAUUGAGAUAAUCUUUUUUAAAAAAAAUCAGAUAUUUUUUCGAGAUCUACAACUAAGAUAUUGACUUGGGAUGAAAUUCCACUAUUAGGCCCCAAAACGGGCUGGCCAAACUAAAAGUUUUUUUUCGGAUAAGAUUUUGACCGGACGUAGCUCUCUAUCCGUGAAGAAUCAGGCAGAACGACAGGAGGCAGAGUUAAUGUAGAAGUCGAGAUCUACCUCCUCGAGAUUUUUAUCUUUUUUUUACUAGAGAUGCCUAUUUUAGAAAAAAGAGUCCUACUAAAAUUAAGAAAAGGAAUCCAACUCAAAUUGUGUUAAGGUGGAUCUUACAUUAUAAAUAAAGGCUAUAUACCUCGAUUUUUUAAGGACUCAUGAAAGAAAAUGGGUCUUUAAUCCCUACUUUCAUGAGUCCUUCCAUCUUCUAGUAAUCUUUCGAGAUAUUCGAGUUGAGCUGGUUGAAGAGAAUCUUCCUCCCCAAUCGGAUCAAGUUGAUAUCAGAGCUCCAGUCCUCUAUAUCUGUAAGGCCUCUGAUCAUGGUCCAAAUGCAUAAGCAAUACAAUCAAUCAGGAAAAGGGCAAUCUGUGCUUUAAAUACAUCGAAGGACAAAGGCGAGUAUGGCUAUUAGUUCUUCCUCGAUAGGUGAUGAUGAGAUAAAAGGAUGUCCCUUACAACUAAAGGAGAAAAUUGCCCAACUCGCCAAGAUCGUCUCAAGAUUGGCGAUAUCUUCAGUAAAAGCACCGACAACUCCUAUUACGAAGCUGUCUCCUACGGCUCGAGAUGAAGAGCCACUAUCCAGCGAGGAAGAUAAGGAUUAGCGAUCUAUGGGUUAGAAAAAUCUCUCUUCAAUCAUGUAAAGUUGAGACUCGAAUCGAAAUCCCUAUAUAUGAUGAGGUAGACUAGUUAGAGAUAUAUUUUAUUGUCUAUGGAUACUCAAGUAUCCAAAAGGUAGCUUCCGUCCAUCUCAAGCUUUCUAGCCAUGCUCUUAUCUGGUGAAAUUUGUACAUGAGGAACAACAAUGUUUCAAAUCUGACAUGGAACAAAUAUAAAAGCCUAAUCAAGAAGUAAUUCUGCCCACUCGGCCACAAGGAGGAUCUGUGGAUCAAGUGGCAGUACCUACGAUAGACCAGUAUGUCUAGAACUACAGCACCGAGUUUUACAAACAAACGAUCUCACUCGAAAUCUCCAUCAAUGAUCAUGCAGUUUUUAUAAAGUACAUCGGAAGUUUCCACAAGAGUAUCCGAAAGAAGCUGAAACUCUUUGAAGUUGAAGACAUCAGCAAAGCCAGCAUGAAGGCUACGGGAAUUGAGAAGAAAAAUCAGCCUAGAAAAGGUAAAAAGGGCGACAAGUUCAAGAAAAACAGCAAAAAUCCAUGUCAAGAGAGAGAGCAAGGAAAAAAGCACGCCAAUGCGACCCAAAAAAUUUAUUAUGAUCAUUAUAACCUCUGUGAACACACCAAGGAGAAGUGUUGUAAACUUCAUCCCGAGCUAUGGCCGAAGAGGAAGACACAGGAAGAAGAGAAUUCUAAGAAGAGAAAGGCAGUUCUUAAUACUAUAGAAGUUAAGAAGCUGCCUGAACUUGAGCAAACAGACUUCAAAUUAAGCCUGAUGGCGAGAAAACCUGAGAUAGCAACUGAAACAAAUUUAUAGGUGCGAGAAGAACUUUUCCGCCUGGAGAUCCAGUUGAAGCAGAGCAUUGUUGAGACUAGUGUAGAUCCUAAAAGCCAAAAGAACCUCAUCUGUGAAAAUCUAGUUCAAAAGCAAGGGUUGCGGACUAAACCUCGUCCACAUCCCUACUCUCUUGGUUGGAUUUAGAAGAUCGUUGAAUUGAAAAUUACUAAGUAAUGUACCUUCAAAUUUGUUAUAACUAAGAGGUAUAUCGACUAGGUAAUUUAUUAAGUUGCUCCUUUCGAUGUUUGCCCGGUUAUUCUUGGAAGCUCAUAUCUUUGAGAUCGAGACACAGUCUUUUACCGACAUCUAAAGAAGUAUCGAUUCAUAAAGGAUGGAAAGAAGUUUAUAAUCAAUGCCUCCAAAACACUAGAAAACAGACCUUACAAUUGCUGCCUAAGUGAAGCAACUUGUUAAUGCCUACAACAAGUUCAUGAUGAUAGUAUGAAAAUUUGAUAUUACUUACGAGAAAUUAAGCUUUCGUUCUUUGGUUCCAUUGACUGAUAUACCGAGAUCAAGAUUGAGGAGUCGCGAUAGUCGCCAUCAACGAGAAAGGACAGCAAGGAGCGUCCCUACCACAAAGUAUAAAUAUAGGAGCAAAGCAAGUGGUUUACUGAGACUCAAGAGUAAAGAAAAAUCAGGCCAGAAACCAUCUCCAAGCAAAGCUAGAUGGUUCAACCGCAAGAUAGGGAAGCGAGAGUUUCCCCACCUUCAAUUCGGAUUUAGUAGAAGCUAAAUCUCCUAAACAGAAAGAGCCCUAAUCCAAAGGAUCCUCAGACUCGAUGUGACCGCUACGAGUAAGGUUGGACAGAGUGCAGGAACGAGAUCCACCACAUCAAGAAGCCGAAUCGCAACUAAACUUUCAGAGGCCAUGGCUUGGACAUAAGUGCCCAAUUGAGUGAUCUUUUUUAAAAAAAAUUAAGUAUCUUUUCGAAAUCUACAAUUAGAAUAUUGAAUUGAAAUAAAAUUUCUCUGUUAAACUCCGAAAUGGGCUGAUCAAAUUAAAAGUUUUCAUUUCAUAUAAGACUUUGACCAGACAUAGCUCUCGAUCCGAAAAGAAUCAGACAGAGCGACAAAAAACAGAAUUGAUAUCGAAACAAGAUGUACCUAAUUAAGAAUUUUAGCUUUUUUUAUUAGAAAUGUUUGUUUUAGAAAAAAGUAUCCUACUAAGAUUAGAAAGAACAAUCCAACCCAAAUUUUUGUUAGAACGGAUCUUACAUUAUAAAUAAAGUUAUGUACCUUGAUUUUAAGGAUUAAUGAAAGAAAAGAAGACUUUAAGCCCCACUUUCGUAAUUCCUACUACUUUUUUAAAAAAAAAUUCAAGUUGAGCAAGUUGAAAAAAAAAUUUCUUCUCUCCAAUCGGAUCUCAUAGAUAUAACCUUACUUUCAUAAAAAAGAAAAAAACUUAUUUUAUUCUCAUUUCUGAUCUAGUAGCUUAAUCGUCUGGAGCAAUUAGUGAAAAGAAAUUUUCAACCACUAAUACUCAACCACCAAACUUCAUGAGCAACGUUGUGCACCUAUAAUGCAAGCAUACAAAUGCAUCCAUACUGUGAAUGGAAUCGAGUAGACAUGAAGAUAAGGAAUGGAUAUUUGACACAAAAAUUUUAAUCCCACAAUCAUCAUAGAAGUAAAAACAUAUGUUCGAAAUAUACAUCAUGUUCAGUCCUUUUUGUUUCUUCUACCUAUCAUGCAACUAGUUUCGGAAUGAUUGGUUUUGAAUACCAGACUGAAGCAUGGAUUGGAAACCUGCAUGGAACCCCUGUGUAUAUGCUGCAUUCUUCAUACUCAUCUGCAAUAAUAUUGCAGUCGGUUAGUUGUGAGCUAUUGAAAGUAAAGGGAAAAUACGGUGUUCAUAGUUGCACUUUUCAUAGUUUAUAUAUGGUGGUUACCAUAUGAGGCUCGCCCUCAGUUACAUACUCAACAAGGUUGACUCUAUAAAUUGAGAUCCAACAGAUUAUGUAGUUCAAUACUGGAUGUUCUCGGUGUUUUCCUUUCCUGCUCGUUUCAUGCAAGUAUCAUCCACCACUCCAGUCACAACAUCCUAUGAACUACUUUAACUUCUCGAAUUAAAUUAUUAUCACCAAAUGAUUGGAAAAUAAUUUUUAAAAAUACUGACAUCACAUACAGCAUCUCAUGAUUCCUUCAUGAAAUAGCCAAGAAUUAUUAAAGUAAUAAUACUAUUUGUUGAUGUACUUGCCUUUUUCCCAUGUUUGCAGGUUCAUGUACGGCCUAGCAUAAACUAUUGUUAUCUUAGAAUAUAUAUGUUAAAUUCUGACAUCACUUUUGGCUAAUGUUUAUAUUUUUCCUGAAUAUUAAACUUCCUCUCCCAAACAAAUUUCCAAAUAGCAGAUUUAUAUAUGGACAAUUGCUUUUCCCUCUAUGCUGACACUAAUACCCCAGUUUAGAUCCUUUCAAGAACUAGAGUCCAAUAUAAUCUCCUACCAUCGUCCAUGGAUCAAUAAAUAGUAGGCGAUUGAACAAGGCAGGUAAAUAUGAUGGGACCUGCUUGCAAUUAUGUCUCACUCUUUUCAAGCACUUGCUGUUGAUUGAUGCACAGCAGGUGAUUGAAUUAGACUUUACAGUUCAUUUUACAAGCUGGAAAGUAUCCUAAUCCCAAAUACAAUACCCUUUAUUCCAAUGUACUUGAAAGAAAGAGAGUUUUACUGUAACUUAACUAGGCAUUGUAUGUGUUAGUAUUUCACCAUGUUAUUUUCUGGUUCACUUACCGCUUAAUCAAAUGACAAAUAUACCCUUAUCUUUAUGCAAGUAUACAUGAAAACACACGAGUAAAGGAGAGGGAUAUUCGUGUCCUUAGGUACCAUGUAUAAAAUUUGCUCUUUCCACCCUUUUUGUAUCAUAGCUCUCCAAAUAUUAUAAAUUAUGUCCAUGAAGAUCACUUUACUGUUCCCAAGGUAUAAUUUCACAGAUUAGAGGCUAAAGUCAAUUGUCUUCUACAUAUAUCAAAACACAUGCAAGGCAGCUCAGUGCAUGAGGCUUCCGUCACUGUAGAGUUUGAGAGGGUCAGAUGUACACAGCCUUACCUCCAUUUGCGGAGAAGCUUUUUCCGAAUUUUGAACUCGCGACCUUCAGGUCACAAAAAAGCAACUUUACCAUUGCACCAAGGCUCACAAUGGAGCAAAAAGAAACUCAAGUAGUUCGGAUACUUCUAAAUCAUAAAGUAAAUGAUUUGCUCUGUUUUAAAAAAAAAUGUUCAUUUGGUGAUCUCAUAAUGCAUGCAUACUAAGUUUCAGAAACAUUAGGAAUCUAGGUUUUGGGCAUUCAUGACAAUGUAUCUGAUGGUGAACAGUCUGGGCUAUCUAUAUUAUGUCUCAUCAAUUAAUGACUAUAGGGCAUAACUGAGUUGGUUAUAUCUCGUGAACAUUAGUCAUUAGAUGUGUGUUCGUGUGUAUGUCUAUAAAUAUAUGUUUGUGUGUAUGCCUGCAUGUAUCAACAAGAAAUGGCCACCGUCACCAUAUGUCAAAACAGAAAGUACAAAUCCAACAUAUCAUACUUACAGUCAUGUUCUCCAAAUCAGACACAACCCGCUUUCUGAUUCCAUCCAAUACUGAACGUCCACGAAGUUCCAUCUGUUGAACAUUUGAAUUCUUAGACACCUAAAAAUUUAGUCAACCAAGGAAACAUCAAAUUCCAAUAGAAAGAAAAGAUGGUAAGAUGGUAAAGAAAGUGAUGUGCAUGGUAACUUCAAUUACCUCUGAUAAAAAGGCUGUGGAUAUUUUAUCUAUAAUUUCAUUUACAAAUUUUCCCACAUCAGAAGCUUCAGCCAAUGCGUCUACUCUGUUUUGAGUCUUCUCCACUGCAUUUUUCGGAAGAUCCGGCCGACUAUUAGCUUGUCCUUAACAUGGGAAAGAAAAGCAUGUUUCAAUGGAUGUGUGCAUUAAGCAGUAUUGGAGAAGACAUCAGAAUAAAUACGAAUAUUAGCAAACAAACAUUUAAUAGACAAAAUAAAGUACAUGUUCAAUGGGUGCUAAAGCAGUGGUAGUGACUUUCUAUAAAAUAUGCUCUGCUAGGAAGCCUGAUUGAUCUGACUGGUGUUUCUUCUGAGAGUUUUGAGUUUACAAAAAAUAUGUUGUGCUGUGCUGCUUAUAUUUUUCUUAUAAGUUUAGGCACAGGUAUUAUUGAUUUUUCCUUAGAUUUUAAAUCCUGCUUAAGGACCCCUUGGGAAAUAUGAAAUGCUCAUUAAAAGUUCAAGUACUCGCAUGGGCUUGCUUAAAAUCUUGAACCAAAAAGUUUUGGGAAAGGGAUGCAAGCUGUCUGUCCGCAUAAAUCCAAUGGUCAUCGCUAAUUGCUUCAGGAACAAAUUGACAACAUGGGGUAUAUUUUAGCCCUUCUAUUUCAGAUCCUGUAAAAAGUAAAUCUUUUUUCUACCCAUGACAAGAAAAUCCCAGAGCCAGCAGGCAACCCAUUUCCCCUCCAGCCCUCCGUAUUUGGCCUCUAAUUCAUGCCUCACAUAUGAACAUAAAAAUUAGGUAAAUAGAACAGCUGUACCCACUCUGCUUAAAUUAGCAUUGUACCUUUACUUUUAUUCAAUGUUUUAAUAUAUGGCUGUGGUAUAUGGAUGGCAUGGACCGCAUAAUGCAUAAGGUCACAUAUGCAAGCACAUAUACGAUUACUAAUUUAAAUAUUUAAACAAAAUCAGAUACAUUCUAUAAUAAUGGCAAUAAUUUUAUAAGUCAUAGCAAUAUUAAUAAUGCUAAUAUCUAGCAAAGAGUUAUUAGUACUUGAUUCUUAUUAGUGAUAAUUAUAGCACAAUUACCGCAUCUAUAUUGUUAAUAUACAUGUACCUAGCUCCCUUAAAACCUACAUCCAACCCAACUAUUAGCUUGAACCCACCUUACUCGCAUGGGCUUACAUGAGAGUGGUCAUAUAUGUGGCCGCACAAUGCUAAAAGAGCUGCAUAUGCGGUCACAAAAUGAUAACUAGGCUGCAAGUCUACCAAUCUUUUUUUGGAUGAGGUCUUGGGUUGUUACCAAUAGUAUCAAAGCAGAUCCAACCCAAAGCCCAUGUGAACUAGAAGAUACUGCAAUAUUGGUUGUUUUGCAAUUAACCACAAGUUGUUUGUAGUGCUUGUCAUUGAAUUUGAUUGGAUUUGGACCUUAAGCCCAGCAAGGACACCAAGGCCUAAAAAAUGGAGGGAUAUGAGGACCAAUGAGUGUAUGUUUAGUCCUACAUUGGUUCUAUACUAGGUGAAUUUAUGGCACUUAUAUAGGGCUGAGGAACCCAAACAAUACCUUCUAGCUAGCCUUUUUGGGUGAAGACCUGAUCAUUACAUAAGUAAAUCAUCUUUUCAGCCCAUAUAUGGCCCAACUGCAUGUAGUAGCUGCCUAUAGGGUAUACAGUGCAGACAAUGGAACAUAUAUGCAUAUGCAGAUACAUAUGUGGCCUUAUAGACUACAUUUUAAAACAGCGCUUUUAUUGCAAAGGGAAUUGCAUUUUUCCAAGUUAAUGUGGGACAUAAAAGCAUCAAGAAAAAGUGCAUCACACGGCUAACAAUGACGCAUUUGAUGCCCAAUCAAAUGACAAGGAUACUCUCAUUUCUUUCAAGUGCAUGUGAAUAUAGUAAGCAUUCAGAUGAUACAAGAGGUGCUUGAAAACCUUUCUC
rnacentral:lncRNA from 1 species